rnacentral:lncRNA from 1 species
CAAAGGCCAUGAUUAGAUCAUUGGAUCAUAAUCAGAUGGAUGUGAAACUGCCAAGACACCACCGGAGCUAGGGCUCCAGUCAUCUUCUCUGGUGGACAUCACUGGACUCGUCCACCAUCAACUUCCAUGAAAAUGAAAAGUAAGUACACUAUUUUGAAGAGAAAAUUGCCUGGAAUCCAAAUUUGACCUCAAAAUUCUCCAAUUCCAAGUAUAUUGAAAGAUACAUGGAAUUGAUAAUUAAGGAGUAUGAAUUGAG